rnacentral:lncRNA from 1 species
GUAGGAUUUUGAUGUUUAGAAAAAUUAAAUUUUUCGUAGAAUUGCAAGCUAUCUUCGUCGAGCCCGAGCCUCCUUAUGCAAUCUUCCUCUAGUUUACUAGCAGGUGAUGCUAGUAAUGUAAAAUCUUGAAUUAUUGAUGAUUGUGAUGAUGAGAAAGGGGGUUGACAAAGAUACAUUACCAUGUACAAGAUGUAAUAGAAAUUCUCGAGUUGAAAUAAGGGAGUCCAAUAAAGAUAAUUUUGUGUCGAAUGACACGAAAGAUGAUUUGUACAUAUGAAGAAGAAAAGAUUGAAUCUAAAUCGAUAAAGAGUUAGACAAGACCCGACUUAACUCAACCCGGGCAAUGCAACGGGUCAAUGGAUCAUUGGUUUCAACCGAUAACCCCCGUCGUUCAAUCGAUAGGUCAAUUUCCGUCAAAAUAUAUUGUAAAUAUUUAACUUAUGUUAUUUUGGUGAUUAUAGAUCAAUCUGUAUGAUAAAAUUUAACAACACUAAAUCAUAUAUUGUGAAAAAUUCAUUUGCAACUGCUAUUUAUAAUGAUUAUAAGGAUGUGUUUGAUUGCAAGUGUGGAAUUUGCAUGGAAAAAAUAAAUUUUAGGUAAUUAAUUGCCUAGAAUUUAUUUACAUGGAAAAUGUCAAUUAAAUGUGUUCAAUUGCUUUAAUUUUCAAUCUAGAAAAUAUUAUACUUGUUCGAUUUUUAUUGGUGGGUAUAUGAGAGAGAGUGGAUAGAUGAGAGAGAGUGAGAGAAAUAAUGAAUGAAUUCCCUGAAGAAGAAAAAAAAUCCUACUGUCCCGAAAGAAAAUAUUUUCCUUGAUUUUGAGAAAAAUAUGGUCACGUGACAAAAGUAGAAAAAUGGUUUCCAUGAAAAAAAUAUCAGUCAAACAGUACAAAAGUAAAAAUUUGAGUGAAAAAAUACAUUUUUCAUGAAAUAUAUUGACAAUCAAACGCAUCCUAAUAUGAAUUUGAAGUACUUGCUUUUGCCCAAUUUAUGUUCUUGCAUAGUGAAUCUUAUAUGAUAAGUAAUCUAGUGCUAUCUUUCUAUCACUGUAAAGAUCAGACAAAGGCAUCUAAAGAAUUAAUUUGAUAAGAGUCAUCAAUGUUAAGUAUUAAAUCAACAAAAUAUAGUCAGAUACAAUAAACUACAACCCAAGAUUCAGUCAGCAAAUUAAGAGAACUAAACAACAAGCAACAUGGAAAGAAUAUCAAAAACCCUGAAAAUCAUGUGUCCUCGGAACUAAACAGUUGAUAUGGGAAGCAAACACCAUACAACACAAGUAAUUCUUUUAAUUUUCAUUCGGUGUUGGGAAUUUUCUUUGCUGCAAAUCAAUUGGGAAUAAGGCUCAAUUUUUUAUUUUUGGUGUUAGAGAUUUCCUUGCACAUAAGAGGCAUUUUCACCUAAGGUCAAGUAACAUAAGUACAUCUUGAAAAGUAUGCAUAGUAGGGAAUUACCCAAUAACUCAUAGAUUUGAUAUUUUACAACUAAUCAAAUUGCUAGGCAAUUUGUUGUCAAAUGAUCUCCCCAAGCUAUGAUGUUAACUCGAUUUUAAUUUUAGUCGGCUUAGAACAAAUGACUGAACGAUAUACCGACACCACAAAAGGGACGACCCAACCCCAAUUUGGAUAAGCCACUCGAAGGACCUAAUUUAGUAGAGUUGCUCAUGGCUCGACCCAUUUUACUUGGAUGGCUUAGCAAUGGAACCCAUUUAGAAGUCCAUUACUCUUUGUGUUGGGCCUUUUGGGUCAAUACCUUAACCUAACCUAGCUUACCUUAUUUGGUUAAAUGAACUGUGUCCUCCAUUGCCUCAAGCGUGCGCGAUGUGCAAUUUUGCUGCCUCUUCUUCUCCAUCUCUCUGUCCAUUUUUAGUUUGCUACCUUUGUGGUUAAUCUUUGUGAGAUAUUGGCUUUCGUUUGUUUGUGGGUAUUGAAUAGCAAUCGUAAAGGGGGAGAAAAUCCGGUUGGGAUGUUUGGUCAUUUCUGGGUUGUGGUGUUGAUUUGGUGGUGAACUAAGCCCGGAAUCACCUUGGUUGUUGUGGGUUUUCACUCUACACAAACAUAUUCAUAAUCUUUCUAUUGGAGCACAUGAGAAACAAAGAUUAUCAUAUUAUGAAAAGAGAUGACUACGCUCUGGAAACUAAAAUUCAUUCAACAGACUUGAAUCUCAUGUGAAGUGCGAGCUUAUUAUAUGGAAAUCUGCUGCCUUAGCAAAAUAUCACAAAACAGAUACUAAGUAUUUCCCAAUCUGCUGCCUUAACUAAUUAGCUACCUUGAAAGUCAUAUGCUCUUCUUUAAUAAUCCCA